UGAGACGAACACCCGGUUUGGGACAUUAACCUCCGGUUUCCGCACCGUAUGUCAACUUCCGGUUACCUUUCAACAUGGCAUCGACUAUGUUCUCUCCUCGUCUCAUUGCUGGUUCGAAGCUUCGAGUGCAGUACGAUGCGGACGGAAAAGCCAUUGAGGUGGAAACCCGUGAGGAUGAGGAACAGAAUGUCAAACUGGAAGAAACAAUUGAAUUAUUGCGAUCGGCCGGCUAUUUCAGGGCUCGCAUCAAGGGAUUAACUCCCUUCGAUAAGGUUGUCGGUGGAAUGACCUGGUGUAUAACCACGUGUAACUUUGAUGUUGACAUCAACCUUCUGUUCACCGAAAACUCCAGCAUCGGACAAAAAAUAGCUUUAACCGAGAAAAUCGUGUCCGUGCUUCCCAAGAUGAAAUGCCCACACCGCAUUGAGCCUCAUCAAAUUCAAGGUCUGGAUUUCAUCCACAUAUUCCCUGUGGUUCAGUGGUUGGUGAAGAGGGCUCUGGAGACAAGAGAAGAGAUGGGUGACACUAUACGUGCCUAUUCCAUAUACCAGUUCAACAAAAAUAAUAAAAUGCCUCAGGAUGAAAAAUUUGAUUCCACCAAACACAAUGCAAUUGAAUGUCUAAAUAAUGCCAAGCACAGUUACAGACCACAAAGACGGUAUCGGCGUCGAGAUGCUGACAAACUGACUGAUGAAGAAACUCGUGUGAUAUCAACCCUGCUUGAGUUUGGAUGGAAUUAUGGACUCCAGAACCGAUGGAAUGAGAGCACAGAUAAAGCCCAGUCACCAGAAUUGGAAAACCAGGAAACUAUUGAUGGCGAUAAAGAAACAGAUGAGGAUCAACAAAAACAAGAUGAGGAAAAAAUCAACCUUCUUAUGCAGAGUAUGUCAGCCAUGACACCCAGCGAUGAAUUUAAAAGUUAUGCAUCAGUGAAAAGCAGGGGCAAGAUAAGUGCCAGUGUGGUCGGGUCGAUGGUCAGCAUGCAAUCUGAUGAGAUUCAGCGUGUAGCUUCUGAAUAUGCGGAUAAACAAUCUGAGUUGGGACAAAUUGAGAAAGGAGAACUGACAGGAGGGGUCCAACACCAUAAAAGACUUGUUACGGCCCUCAACAAACAGAUUCAACAACAGAAGACAGUCCAAGAAGAAAUGAAAACCAAACAUGAACAACUCCAAGAGGAAUAUAAGGAAACACAGGAAAAUCUUCAAACGAUUCUUCAACGUUCAGAUCGAAUCGAUGGGGAAAUGGACAAACUGAAUGAAAUGGAGACUUCUGAGAACCAAGGAGUCCUCGAAGAGUUGAGGAAUUUAGUUGCAAUGAAUGAAAACCUAAAGAAACAAGAACAAGAGUUCAAAUCCCAUUGCAAGGAAGAGAUGUCCAGGUUAAAACAGAACAUUCAGAAAUUGAAAGAUGAAAAUGCUGAAGAUGACUCUGAUGAUAAGCAACGAGUAUCAUUGAUCGAAAGUCAAUACGAUGCAGACAAAGAGAAGCUACAGAAGAUCAAACUGAUGCAGGCAAAAACAAACCGUGAAAUUGCCUCUCUGCAGCGGAAGAUCGAUGAUGUACCAUCUCGGGUUGAACUGAGUCAAUAUCAGAAACGCUUCUUUGAACUUUACAAUCAAGUUGCUGCCAAACACAAGGAAACUAAACAAUUCUACACACACUACAACAUCCUUGAUGAUACAAAACUCUACAGAAACAAAGAGGUCAAUCUGCUCAACUCUAUACACGAAAACUUUACUCAGGCUAUGGCAUCAACUGCUACGAAAGAACAGUUCCUGCGACAGAUGGAACAAAUUGUUGAAGGAGUGAAACAAAAUCGACUGAAGGUGGAGAAAAAGAAGCAGGAAGAGAAAAUGAAGCGUGACCAAUUUAAUGACCAAUAUCUGGAAUUAAUUGAGAGUCAAAGACUCUACUUCAAGACUGUCAAAGACUUCCAAGAGGAAUGCCGAAAGAAUGAAAUACUGCUGUCUAAAUUACGAUGAAGAGAACAAAUUCUUUGAAAACGGGUGAAGGAUCCGGAAAUCCUUGAUCCAAAAUUAUUAUUCUUAAUGGCUGCUGAUUCAAUAUUUUUUUUACAAGAACAAAAUAUAUUUAUUAUUAUUAUUAUUGUUAUUAUUAUGAAGAAGAAAGUGGAGGGUGGGCUGUCAAAAUCAUUGGCACGCCGGGCAAAAUGCUUAGCAGUAUUUUGUCUGUCCUUACAUUCUGAAUUCAAAUUCCGCUGAGGUCAACUGUACCUUUCAUCCUUUCAGGGUCGAUAAAAUAAGUACCAAUGAAAUACUGGGGUCGAUGUAAUCGAAUAGUCUCCUCCCUGCAAAACUUCAGGCCAUGGGCCUAUGUUACAAAUGAUCCCAUAUUAUGGUUGCUGUUUGUCCCCAGGUCAACCCUGAUUGAGCAAACAGACCUGUGAUU